rnacentral:lncRNA from 1 species
UCACCUCACCUCACCUCACCUCACCUCACCUCACCUCACCCUUCACCUCACCUCACCUCACCUCACCUAACCUCACCCUUCACCUCACCUCACCUCACCUCACCCUUCACCUCACCUCACCUCACCUAACCUCACCUAACCUCACCCUUCACCUCACCUCACCUCACCUCACCUCACCUCACCCUUCACCUCACCUCACCUCACCUCACCUCACCCUUCACCUCACCUCACCUCACCUCACCUCACCCUUCACCUCACCUCACCUCACCUCACCUCACCUCACCUCACCUCACCUCACCUCACCUCACCUCACCUCACCUCACCUCACCUCACCUCACCUCACC